rnacentral:rRNA from 1 species
UACGUAGGGCCCGAGCGUUAUCCGGUAUUAUUGGGCGUAAAGAGUACGUAGGCGGUAUGGUAAGACAAUGGUUAAAGCUCCGGGCUCAACUCGGAAAUCGCCGUUGUGACUGCCGUACUAGUCGGUAGCAGGGGCAAGCGGAAUUCUCGGUGUAGGAGUGAAAUCCUUUGAGAUCGAGAAGAACACCAAUGGCGAAGGCAGCUUGCUAGGUUACUUGAGACGCUGAGGUACGAAAGCGUGGGGAGCGAAC